GGAAACGUGGCGAAACGGUAGCCGCUGUUGUUUGCUAAACAACCGGGAGCGAUCCCUUGCAGGUUGAAGUCCUGCCGUUUCCGCCA
rnacentral:tRNA from 1 species